UACAGAGGGUGCAAACGUUGUUCGGAAUUACUGGGCGUAAAGCGCGUGUAGGCUGCUUGGAAAGUCGGAUGUGAAAGCCCUGGGCUCAACCUAGGAAGUGCAUUCGAAACUUCUGAGCUGGAGUGCUGGAGAGGAAGGCGGAAUUCUCGGUGUAGAGGUGAAAUUCGUAGAUAUCGAGAGGAACACCGGUGGCGAAGGCGGCCUUCUGGACAGUAACUGACGCUGAGACGCGAAAGCGUGGGGAGCAAACAGG
rnacentral:rRNA from 1 species